GAAGAAGUGAAUUAAGGGCAUUUGGUGGAUGCCUUGGCAUGCACAGGCGAAGAAGGACGUGAUACGCUGCGAUAAGCCGUGGGGAGCUGCGAAUAAGCUUUGAUCCAUGGAUUUCCGAAUGGGGGAACCCACCUUAGAUAUCUAGAAAAUCUGUUUUGCUAGACACCUUGAUGUUUUGAACGGUUUGCAUGGGACUUCCCAUACAGACCGUUAGGUCGUCGCCAACAGUUUGGCGCGCCGUCCGCAGGCCUUUGGCCGUGAGGACAGAACAAACCCGGCGAUACCGGGUUCGAGGGUUCAGCGAAAGAGGUUUCUAGAUAUCACAAUAAGGUAUCUGCAUCUGAAUACAUAGGGUGUAAGAAGCGAACUCAGGGAACUGAAACAUCUAAGUACCUGAAGGAAAGGACAUCAACCGAGACUCCGUAAGUAGUGGCGAGCGAACGCGGACCAGGCCAGUGGCAAUGAUGAAUAAAGUGGAACGCUUUGGAAAAUGCGGCCAUAGCGGGUGAUAGCCCCGUACACGUAGAACAAUCAUUGUCCUUGAGUAGGGCGGGACACGUGAAAUCCUGUCUGAACAUGGGGAGACCACUCUCCAAGCCUAAGUACUCGUGCAUGACCGAUAGCGAACAAGUACCGUGAGGGAAAGGUGAAAAGCACCCCGACGAGGGGAGUGAAAUAGAACCUGAAACCGGAUGCCUACAAGCAGUCGGAGCUCGAAAGAGUGACGGCGUACCUUUUGUAUAAUGGGUCAACGACUUAGUGUAGCAAGCAAGCUUAAGCCGGUAGGUGUAGGCGUAGCGAAAGCGAGUCUGAAUAGGGCGUUUAGUUUGUUGCAUUAGACCCGAAACCGAGUGAUCUAGCCAUGAGCAGGCUGAAGGUUGGGUAACACCAACUGGAGGGCCGAACCCAUAUCUGUUGCAAUAGAUUGGGAUGACUUGUGGCUAGGGGUGAAAGGCCAAUCAAACUCGGAAAUAGCUGGUUCUCCGCGAAAACUAUUUAGGUAGUGCGUCGAUCGAAUACCCUCGGGGGUAGAGCACUGGAUGGGCUAUGGGGACUCACCGUCUUACUGAUCCUAACCAAACUCCGAAUACCGAGGAGUACUAAUCGGCAGACACACGGCGGGUGCUAACGUCCGUCGUGAAGAGGGCAACAACCCUGACCUCCAGCUAAGGUCCCCAAGUCAUGGCUAAGUGGGAAAGGAUGUGAGGAUCCCAAAACAACCAGGAUGUUGGCUUAGAAGCAGCCAUCAUUUAAAGAAAGCGUAACAGCUCACUGGUCUAAAUAAGGGUCUUUGCGCCGAAAAUGUAACGGGGCUAAAGCCAUGCACCGAAGCUGAGGAUAGUACAGUUAUAGUGACUGUGCUGUGGUAGCGGAGCGUUCCGUAAGUCUGUGAAGGGGGACCCGUGAGGGCCCCUGGAGAUAUCGGAAGUGCGAAUGUUGACAUGAGUAACGAUAAAGGGAGUGAGAGACUCCCUCGCCGAAAGACCAAGGGUUCCUGCUUAAAGUUAAUCUGAGCAGGGUUAGCCGGCCCCUAAGACGAGGCGGACACGCGUAGUCGAUGGGAACCACGUUAAUAUUCGUGGGCCUGGUGGUAGUGACGGAUCUCGUGUGUUGUACAUUCUUAUUGGAUUGAAUGUGCGGCGAAGAGGUUCCAGGAAAUAGCUCCACCGUAUAGACCGUACCCGAAACCGACACAGGUGGUCAGGUAGAGUAUACCAAGGCGCUUGAGAGAACUAUGUUGAAGGAACUCGGCAAAUUGCACGCGUAACUUCGGAAGAAGCGUGACCCUGUUGUACGCAAGUAUGUCAGGGUGGCACAGACCAGGGGGUAGCGACUGUUUAUCAAAAACACAGGGCUCUGCGAAGUAGCAAUACGACGUAUAGGGUCUGACGCCUGCCCGGUGCUGGAAGGUUAAAGGGAGGGGUGCAAGCUCUGAACUGAAGCCCCAGUAAACGGCGGCCGUAACUAUAACGGUCCUAAGGUAGCGAAAUUCCUUGUCGGGUAAGUUCCGACCUGCACGAAUGGCGUAACGACUUCCCCGCUGUCUCCAACAUAGACUCAGUGAAAUUGAAUUCCCCGUGAAGAUGCGGGGUUCCUGCGGUCAGACGGAAAGACCCCGUGCACCUUUACUAUAGCUUUACACUGGCAUUCGCCAAGGCAUGUGUAGGAUAGGUGGUAGGCUUUGAAGCGGGGACGCCAGUUCUCGUGGAGCCAUCCUUGAAAUACCACCCUUAUCUUCGUGGAUGUCUAACCGCGGUCCGUUAUCCGGAUCCGGGACAGUGUAUGGUGGGUAGUUUGACUGGGGCGGUCGCCUCCGAAAGAGUAACGGAGGCGCGCGAUGGUGGGCUCAGACCGGUCGGAAAUCGGUCGUCGAGUGCAAUGGCAUAAGCCCGCCUGACUGCGAGACUGACAAGUCGAGCAGAGACGAAAGUCGGUCAUAGUGAUCCGGUGGUCCCGUGUGGAAGGGCCAUCGCUCAACGGAUAAAAGGUACGCCGGGGAUAACAGGCUGAUGACCCCCAAGAGUCCAUAUCGACGGGGUUGUUUGGCACCUCGAUGUCGACUCAUCGCAUCCUGGGGCUGGAGCAGGUCCCAAGGGUAUGGCUGUUCGCCAUUUAAAGCGGUACGUGAGUUGGGUUCAGAACGUCGUGAGACAGUUCGGUCCCUAUCUGCCGUGGGUGUAGGAAUAUUGACAGGAUCUGUCCCUAGUACGAGAGGACCGGGAUGGACGUAUCUCUGGUGGAUCUGUUGUCCUGCCAAGGGCAUAGCAGAGUAGCUAUAUACGGAAUGGAUAACCGCUGAAGGCAUCUAAGCGGGAAACCAACCUGAAAACGAGUGUUCCCUAUCAGAGCCGUGGAAGACGACCACGUUGAUAGGACGGGUGUGGAAGUGCAGUAAUGCAUGAAGCUUACCGUUACUAAUAGCUCGAUCGACUUCUUCGUUCCCAUU
rnacentral:rRNA from 1 species